UCAACAUUCUAAUAAACUCAUGGUCAGUUAAAAUAUUAAGUUGAAAAUACAUUUAAUAUCCCCAAUAAACCCAUCUUAACAUCAAAACAUUGUAAAUCAAACUGUUCUUAAGUAGGGGACUGUCUAUAUUUAUCUUGAAAUCUAACGCUGUCUGGGGUUUCAUUCCCUUAUUGUCUUUUGGAAAUGAGACAGACUUUCAAAGGCAUUCACUUGGUUGGUUUUCAAGAAUGUGUUCAGUAACCCAGCUGCAAGGGGGUGUCUCUGCCACCCUCGGACAUGCAGUACUUUGUAAGUGCCCUGUUCAUUCCUGGACUUGCUCUUCUACCUGGAGGAUGUGUGUGUAAAAUGAGGUACAUGUAGGAGAAAUAGCCAAUUAACGCAAGCUGGGUUUAAAAUAGCUCCUUGGGUGAACCUGCU
rnacentral:lncRNA from 1 species